ensembl:lncRNA
CUUCACGUCACCCCGCUGUCAAUCAUCAAUAGGACGGUCCGCACUGCUUCACCUAGCGAUAAUUAAGUGUUUUGGGGGACCGUGUGGGGCAUUUAUAACGGGUGGACCCCCGAAAACACUCGAAAUGGAACUACUGGUUAUUCUUUGGUGAGACAAAGCUCCGACGUGUCCGCGGGGGUUCGAGGCAAAGUUCCCCUGUGCUCUGAAAGGACUUGUGCCGCUGCAACAACAGGUGACGAGGACGGCAGAGCAAUUAAAACCCCCUGAAUGCGUCCUCUGUCCUUGGACAUAAAAUAUUCCACCGAGGGCAGAAAAGGUCGACGACGGCCACUCGAUUCCUUCCAUAAACUUUAUUGUGCCAACGCAUUGCAGAGACCUGCCUCCGUCCUCUGGGGACACGAAGCCCGCUGACUCCUGAAAGAGGAGCUGUUCUCCGCCUCCACGCGCAGGUGAAGCCCUUUCGUGUGACGGAGGUCGCCCGGUCGCAGUACACAUAGUGGUUGUGAGUUUGGUUCCCUUAAUCAUAAUAGAUUUUAUUGACCGGCUCAAGUUGCCGCCCUUUGCGUUCCUAACUUUCGAUGCGGUUGUUAACUGCAUUGUGGUGGUCUAUAAAGCGGUAUAGUUCGAGGCAAUGCAUUUUAUUGUUUUUCUUUACGGAAAUUGGUUAUAGGAGCCUGAAGUUAUUUGUUUUUAACCCCAAUCUUUUAUUACAAAUAAUGAAAAUUGUCGGAGUAGUGUUCCAAUUGAGAUUAUCACAAAAGUUGGUCUCGGUGAUGCUUCAGCAUUAAUAUUUAACCUGUACUAUCAGUAUUUUUGUGGGCCAGGUUGUGUAUAUUAUUUUAAGCACUGGCCUUUACAGGUAUUUCACACACGCACAGUUCAAUAAAGACCUAAUAAAAAUCCCGCGGCUGUUUAAUGAUCUAGAUUUAAAUGCUUUCGCUGUUGGAAAACGUAAAGAAUGGUUCAUUUAACUCUGAGCAUUAUUACCUCUUUAUUUUAUUUCCUUUGUAUUUGACCUGAACCCUGAAAGGAAGGAGAGGGAGAGGAACUGGGAAUCAUCAGGGGGAUCCAAUUAUAUUUUCUUUUGUGUUCACUGCAAAAAGAUUACUCUGCGACAAGAUCUCUCUCAACUUAGUUUUUUCAGAUUUUAUCUGCAGACCUGUUAUUUUUCUUCCUUAUCUGAGGUGUAAUAUGCAGGGACCUCUUACAAUUUGAACCUAAUGAACAAUAUUACAGCGCAAGAAGUACACCUGCAGUAAAUCAUCAACUUAAACUACACCUCCCUGUACUUCUCAAGUUAAAAGCAAUCGGUUUGUAUUCUGCAGCUUAAAAACUAGAGGCUAAAAUGUUCCCGGCGGAUCGUGUUGAGUUCAGCCGUGAAGUUUCAGCGUGAACGGACAUGGCGACUUUCCAAUCCCAAUAGCUCGUGGCUAAAUUAUUUCUUCGACCAGAAUUAGUCUGGAGGCUUAACAAGGAUCCUUAGAUGACGUUCAUCCGAGCCGACUCGCCAAAAUAAAAAAAGAAUGUAAUUUUGUGAAUCUGAUUAUAAAGUAUUUCAAAUUGAUUACACAACAGGCCAAUAUGCAGUCGGCACGGAUGCGUCGGCAUAAAUGCAAGUAUCCAAAUGGCCCAGCGUGU